CCUACGGGUGGCAGCAGUAGGGAAUCUUUCACAAUGGGCGAAAGCCUGAUGGAGCAACGCCGCGUGCAGGAUGAAGGCCUUCGGGUUGUAAACUGCUUUUAUAAGCGAGAAAUAUGAUGGUAACUUAUGAAUAAGGAUCGGCUAACUACGUGCCAGCAGCCGCGGUCAUACGUAGGAUCCGAGCAUUAUCCGGAGUGACUGGGUGUAAAGAGUUGCGUAGGUGGGAUAAUAAGUAGCUAGGGAAAUCUGGUGGCGCAAACAUUCAGACUAUUAGCUAAACUGUUAAGCUCGAGACCGUUAGGGGUAACUGGAAUUUCUAGUGUAGGAGUGAAAUCCGUAGAUAUUAGAAGGAACACCAAUAGCGAAGGCAGGUUGCUGGGACGGUUCUGACACUAAGGCACGAAAGCGUAGGGAGCAAACGGGAUUAGAUACCCCAGUAGUC
rnacentral:rRNA from 1 species